GAUCCAGACUCCUACGGGAGGCAGCAGUGAGGAAUAUUGGUCAAUGGGCGCGAGCCUGAACCAGCCAAGUCGCGUGAGGGAUGACGGUCCUAUGGCUUGUAAACCUCUUUUGUCAGGGAGCAAAGGGCGCCACGCGUGGCGCUUUGCGAGUACCUGAAGAAAAAGCAUCGGCUAACUCCGUGCCAGCAGCCGCGGUAAUACGGAGGAUGCGAGCGUUAUCCGGAUUUAUUGGGUUUAAAGGGUGCGCAGGCGGAAUGUCAAGUCAGCGGUAAAAUUUCGGGGCUCAACCCCGUCGUGCCGUUGAAACUGGGGAUCUAGAGUGUGCGAGAGGUAUGCGGAAUGCGUGGUGUAGCGGUGAAAUGCAUAGAUAUCACGCAGAACCCCGAUUGCGAAGGCAGCAUACCGGUGCACAACUGACGCUCAGGCACGAAAGCGUGGGUAUCGAACAGGAUUAGAUACCCCCGUAU
rnacentral:rRNA from 1 species